rnacentral:rRNA from 1 species
AGAGUUUGAUCCUGGCUCAGGAUGAACGCUGGCGGCGUGCUUAAUACAUGCAAGUCGGACGAAGGUCUAGCAAUAGGUCUUAGUGGCGAACGGGUGAGUAACGCGUUGGUGACCUGCCCCGAAGAGGGGGAUAACAGCUCGAAAGGGCUGCUAAUACCCCAUGUGGUUGAAGAGGUUAGAGGCUCUGCAACUGAAGGAGGAAUCCGCUUCGGGAGGGGCCUGCGUCCCAUCAGCUAGUUGGUAGGGUAAAGGCCUACCAAGGCGAAGACGGGUAGGGGGCCUGAGAGGGUGACCCCCCACACUGGCACUGAAACACGGGCCAGACACCUACGGGUGGCAGCAGUAGGGAAUAUUGCACAAUGGGCGAAAGCCUGAUGCAGCAACGCCGCGUGCGCGAAGAAGGCCUUCGGGUCGUAAAGCGCUUUUCGGGGAGAUGAGGAAGGACAGUAUCCCCGGAAUAAGGCUCGGCUAACUACGUGCCAGCAGCCGCGGUAAAACGUAGGAGCCAAGCGUUAUCCGAAUUCACUGGGCGUAAAGCGCGUGCAGGCGGCUCGGUAAGUUGGAUGUGAAAUCUCCUGGCUCAACUGGGAGAGGCCGUUCAAUACUGUCGGGCUAGAGGGCGGCAGAGGGAGGUGGAAUUCCCGGUGUAGUGGUGAAAUGCGUAGAUAUCGGGAGGAACACCAGUGGCAAAGGCGGCCUUCUGGGCCGUACCUGACGCUCAGACGCGAAAGCUAGGGGAGCGAACGGGAUUAGAAACCCCGGUAGUCCUAGCCGUAAACGAUGUAGACUUGGUGUCGGCGGGGUAAAAGCCGUCGGUGCCGGAGCCAACGCGAUAAGUCUACCGCCUGGGGACUACGGCCGCAAGGUUAAAACUCAAAGGAAUUGACGG